rnacentral:lncRNA from 1 species
UUGGAUUACCGGUUUGUGGGGAAGGUAUUGUAUGCCUUUGUUGCUUCCUGUCAUCAGUAUUAAGUCCUGUUAGCCCAGAUUCGAUUCUUAUAGUGAAAGUCGCCGAAGAGUGAAAGGUGGGAGUGUCGGGCUUACUUCUUUCUGUGGUGUAAUGUCCUUAUGGUUGUAAUGUGAAUACCGAUAUAGUCAGAUUGUUACGCCGGGGAGUAAGAUGGACUACCUGAUGAGUAGGACUCGGAAGCGACGUCAGAUGGAAGGGAUCUAACUUUAGCACGGGAACUGGAUGUUUCGCAUGAGAACUGGAUGUUGAAUUACUGGUUUUUAGUUUCAUUACGACUUACUUGUUUUCAUUCUCAUCAGUAAGGGGCUGAUUCUAACAGGGAGUGUAGCUGGUCAAUAAAGGAAAUACAGAUGUGAUGGUCCGGUAGUAAUUAAAGAAAAUCCAAUAUAGGCAAUGCAGACUAUACGCUUUGAGGGGCAUACAAAUAAUAGACUAAGGUAUCCGGUUCAGUAGCUAGAGAAUCAAAGGCAUUAGUCAAAGAGCGAGAUCGAGGAAAGGCAUACUCCAACAAUAGGCAUUGAAGACACAGGAGCGGGGUUUGACAGGUAAGAGACUCAAUCCAUGUAGCGGAAGAACGAAGAUAGUGAGUCAGGCUUAGAGACAGUAGAUAAGGGCUAAGAGCGGGUAAAGCGAGGGUAGAGGUCCGUAAAGGAAGUAUGAUUUCUUUGUUUGACUCUUUCCGGUAUUUUAGUGGAAUUCUGUAAUUCCAGGGGUUUCUUGCUCUAGCAGGGUUUCUUGCUCUAGUACUAUAAGGGGGUAGCUUGUCGGCUUGGCGUCUAUACGUUGCUUGUUUGACAGGGUGGAUAGGAUUGAAUCUUGUAUAACUGAAGUCUACCUCUGGAAUAGUCUACCUAUGGCUCAUCCACCUUCAUUCUUAUCCUAUAAGUAUUCUUAUUAGUAUUAGUAUCGGAGAGCUUGUUAUUACUUAUCCUUCUCAAGCAACUACAGUUCUUGUUUUAGAGUCAGAGGCAGCCUAUAAAUUAAGGACAGAGACAGAGGAGUUGUAUAGGAGAGUAGCAAGAGUUAGAUGAGCCGGGAGUUUCAGAAGCAAGUCAUAAUUAUAGUAUUGUUGCCAGAGAAGAGCAAGUAGAAAGGGAUGCUUCAAGUCUAGGUCAGAAUUAAGGCUUAAUUGGUACUCCUGAAUAACCACUGGGGAACACAGGACUCAUACAAACCCUGCCUUUAAGAAUAAGAGUUUACUUACCGGUAGUGAACUAAAGAAUGGAGCGGAAGAUAUGUAUCCAUCUUAUGAUUCUGCUUUAUCUCCAACUAUAUCUGUUCCUGCUCCACCUGAUUUAGAGUACUACUUCUCGGUGUUGGCUGAAGAAUACUUCUUUAUUCGAAGUUUCAAUCUAAGUUUCAGGCAGGGGAAACAAAUCUAAUGAGUUAGCCUGUGUCCCUACUGAAUCUGGGGCUUGCACUCUCGCCAUUGCUUGGUCCGCUGUUUGUCGGUAGCCAAUGUGGAAAUAGGAUAGGACUUGAGUUCGACUUUCCUAGUGUCUUGUCUAUCCGUGUCUUGUCCACUUGUCCAUACGUUGCUUGGUGGAACUCAGUCUCAAAGCUAGUAGUACUCUAAUGAAUGCAAGGCUAAAGGCAUAGGUUUGAUGAGCUACUGCAGGGAAUAGGGCAGGGCUCUAACUCUCACUACAGAACCAAAGUCAGCAGCGGGAGGCUAAUAGCGGAGGGGAAAAGACCCCAGAAAGCAAGGACCAUAGUCAACAGCUCAAUUCUGAUUAUUAUUAGUUAAGGGAUGUUAGUCGAGGGAAUAAGCCAAUCAAGAAAACUCAAGAAGAAAAGUGCGUAGUGUGGAGGCAAAGCUUCAAGUAAAGAGUGAGGGAGCAGCUAUGAAGGCUUAGAGGCGGGAGAGGUGGUAAGAGAAUGGACCAAGUACUUCUCAUAAUGGAGUUGGGAAUAGUUUAUAUCCGAGGGGAGAGAGUAAUACUUCAAGAGGGAAUUCCAUACUCACUUAUGUGUUUAGGGCCUCUACUUAUUAGUUUCAUGAUGUUAGUCUAAUUAUACAUUUACUACUUGAAAGAAGUGGGCGUGUGUUGAUGAGAAAUAGCACUAGGGUUGGUUAACACAUAACAAGUAAGGAGUAUAAGAGCGAAAGACAAGAGAGUCAGGAACCAUAGGGGAAGAAGAGAUUUCAAACAAAGAUCCGGAUGUCGAGUUCAAGUAUUCGAUUAGAAGUCGUGGUUUGAUUCACUGGGUUUUCAUUCUGAUAUUGCAGAGCCUUAUCGACACUGGGGUUAUUCCAAUAGUCGGUAGUUUGCUCGCCUCCAAAGCAUGGGUUUCGUUCUCAUAUCCUAUCCACUUAUUCUUGAUUCCGUUAGUAGAUGCGCUAUACAUCAUCCCCAUACUCCUUAUUCCUUGUUUGAUUCUGAUAGACACUAGUUCUGUUCUUUAGUUGACCCUGUUAGCAGCGAUUUCUGUCUUAUCGGAUAGCAGUCCAUCCUUUGUAGCAGUAGUGUGUCUAAUAAUAGUAGAAGUUGCUUGUCCAGUUGCUUGACCAUUAGAUUAGUAGUCACUUGGUCGGGUAGUCAACUAAUAAUUCCAUACAAAAUCCAUAAUUGGAAUACGCAGUAAAAGAACUCACCUAGAACUAACCUUAUGGGGACACCAACUAUACCCUUUAUUCUUCAAACUUACCUCUCCGAGCACCAACUCUACCUUCUCCUUCGAUUUCGCAUUUCCAACCUCUGUAAUUGAAUCCACUUAUCACCAACCUACCUUUCAUGCUUAAAUGCCUUAUUUCAUAUUUGCUUGUGCUUUUUCCGUUUACUUAUAUAUUAAUGUCAUGAUUACGUUCACAUAGUAGAAUGAGUUUUCUCGUAGUAUAUUUCAUUAAGUAGCUUUAUUAGCGUAAUUAGAGAGAAAAGCUGCUCUACUUGUUCUAAAAAACGUCUAUUGUUUUCUUUUUCCCUUUAUCGCUGUAGCUUGGGUGUUCAGCACUGGGUUCUUUUUCUUUAGUAGGGUAGUCUAACCGAUGUAUGUGUUACGCCUAUAACUGUAUAGGAAGGAUAUGGUUUUGCUAUUACAUUUCUAUUAUACAAAUCUGAAGGAAAGGUAGAGUCAAUGGUUGUUGCCGAGCAAAGAAGGGAAGUUUUAACCACAGGAUGAGAAGCGCUAGGUAAAUUCCAUUAAGCACCAGUUGUAUUAUUUUAGAGAAGAGGUAGGGUUUGGAAGGGUUGGUAAACAGGUCGAGGAGGUACAGAUGUCAUAGUCAUAGCAAAACUCACCAUUGAUGGAACGAAGCUACCCUAAUACCUUAACAUAGAGACAGGGAAUGGAACCCAUAAGUCAAAGAAUCAAUCCUGUAAUAAGGAAUGAAGUGAAAGAGCCUUACAAACAGUAGAUAAAGUCUGAUCGAUAGUAGUAGCAUUCUUCAGACAAGAUCAAACACCUAGGAGCAGGGAUGAAACACAGAACUAAUAAGCAAAGGAAUAAGUCAGAAAUCCACUCCUUAUUGCCCAAUCAACCUCAUAUUCUAAUAAUCAAAGAUAGAAUCACAGCCAGUAGCGGUAGGCUCAAACAGAAUCAAAACCAGAAAAGAUAGAAUGAAAACAAGGAGUGUAAGUUUGAGAAGUCACUCUGACAAGCAAGGAUGCCAGGUUUAGAAGCGGGAGUCAAAGCCUAAUGAUUAGUGUAGUUGGUUUUCCCCGCUAGUAGCUCCCGAACACAGGACUUGCAAAUUCCGUUUUUGGAGUUAAAGACAAGAGCGUAGUCCUUUGUGUCGGUGUUCGAUUCUAUCUAUCGUGCUAGUAGGUGUCCAGUAUUGUGGACCAGUAUACUGACUUUUCUCUUUUAUUCUCUAAUGUAGUAGAUUGAUUCCUUUACUGCUUGGUUCAAUUCUACCAUCUUAUCCCGGACCCCCAUUCGUGCUUUACUGACUUUUCUUCUUCGACUUUCUUUACAUAGUUAUGACUUUUGAGUCGAGGUAGGAGGCGCGCCCCAGUUCAUCAGUAUUGUUAGCACCACUGAAAUUCUAAUACAAAUACAGCACUACCGCUACUCCAGCUACAUAGUUCUCUUCUUUUUAGUAUUCGCAGGGGAGGGUCAUUCUUUGACUGCUCAGUGGGAUUCUUACUUGUCUUAACCUAUCUCUCUCUAUUCUCUGCUCAGAAAAGUACGUAAUAUAAUAAUCAAUAUGUGCACUUUUUAGAACGAUGUUGGCUAAGUGGUUGGCUAAGAAGAAUUCUGUUGACAUAUAAGAAUGAUGUGGACAUCAACACCGGAACAAGAGAUGUUGUUUCACCCAAUUCAAUGAAAAACUAUAGCAGUAGUUUAGACUUCCAAACUAUAGCAGUAGUUUAGACUGUUGAAUACACAGUAUCAUAAUAGGGAAUGUCGGAAUGGGACUCGGGAACGAACCUACUAUUACUGGGUGAAAUCCGGAUCGGCAACCCGGCACACUGACUGCUUAUUCUUAAGUAAAUGACAGCACUGCAGCUACUAAUAUAAGUAAGGGAACUACCUAGUACGCGCUCUUUCUCGACAACCCGGGCGCUCUCCUAUAUUCUAGACAAAACCAUAAGAUAGGGGGUGUAGCUAACGAUGGGCGGGCUAACAGAUGAAAUAGGGAUUUGAGCUAAGGACAAAUAGGCUUACUACCCCGGUUUUCAAACGAACAUUUCUUACUUGCUUUCUUUAACACUGGCAUCGGAUCCUAGCAACUGUGCCUAUGAGCCUUGGGUGAAAUCUACCACUACUCCCUUUUAGUCUUGACUCCACCAAUAAACUAGUAUACUUAUGAGAUCCCUUUGAGUCUUGACUCCACCAAUAAACUAGUAUACUUAUGAGAACGAAACUCGAAACGGGGCUUUAGCUUACUAGCUAUUAGAAUGGAACCUGGGCGUAUGAGACUGUAGCUGCUGCUUCCAAUACUUCGCUAACUGCUAGUCAGAACGGGGCUACAGCUAGUAAGGCUCUCACCACUAUUGGAAAGAAAGGCACUGGUGCUGAUGAGGCUGAUACUACGCAGAGAGGAAACUUCAUACUUUCUCUUACAAUAUUAGAGUUGAAUCACCGCUAACAAGGAGGCUAGCAAGAUUGUGAAACAGUGGUGCAAUACUGAGUUUCACUGUAUGGAAUACGAGAAUUAGCCCAAUGCAGGUUAGAGAAUAACCCCAGCGAAUCACUGAUAUCGGUCUCGAACAGCCGAGUAGAGUAUAAGAAUAUGUAUGGGUACGAUGUAGCCGCAUAUAGAGUAUAAGUAAUAAGGAUAAGAAUACAGCUACCGCCUAAAAGAGUCUAACAAAUAAGUAAGGAUACAUCGGAAAUAAAGUCAGAAUUACAGAAAUCAAUAAGAAGCAAAAGUCUAGUGUAGUACGCUCUUAUUUCUUAUACAAUAUUCUGAUAUUUCUUAUACAAUAUUCUUAUAUCUAGUGGACCAGGCGCUCUCCACACUCCCAACGGACCUUACCGAACGCACCAUACCCGAUAUGCUGUAUUUAGAGUCGAAGUCGUCCAUACCCAUCCUUGUAGAGUACCCCGGCUUCAAAUGGAACUUCCCGAACCGCCCUCAAUUAUGUAUUUUGAGAUCCAAUAUACAAGUACCACGGCGCAUCCUUUGACUAGUGAGUUUUUCUCUUAGCGAGGUCUCCUUUGAUGAGUUGUUCUGUUCUCUUAUCUUAGCGAGGUCUCCUUUGAUGCAAGGUCUAUUCUAAGAAACCCCGGUGGUUGACACAGCUUCCUUUAGGGACCCAUACUAAGCACCCCUAAUAGCUAGGACACUUAAGUCAAUAACCACUCCUGUGACUUUUCUGCUUGCCUACUUGUCGAGUUGGUUUACAGCUUCCUUAACCUUAAUGCUUGGACCACCACAAGGGAAAGCCCAGCACUGAACCCUAGACUCAAGUUGCCAUUGCUUGUUAGCGAGUAGAGUUAUACUUUCCAUUGCUUUCGAAAAGACCUUGUGCGUUAGUGAGCUCACUGUUGCUUAUUCAAUAAGACUACAUGUUUCUUGUUUGAAUUGAAUUGAGAUAGCCAUAGCAAUAGAAUCUAGUGAAAAAGAGGAGAAUUGAGGUAACCUAACUUCCAACUAGUAUAGAAUUGAGGUAACCUAACUCCAACUAGUAAAAGGGUGAACUCGCUAGUAAUAUGAGAAGGGCACGCACCCAGUAUCAUUAUGUAAUUAAGUAACCUGAGUGCUCACUCACUUAUUGCUUUUGAAGCUCCGCUGUAGCUUAUGGGAGUUUCGAAGUGCUUACGUGAAGUUUGUCGGCGAAGUGGAAAGAAAUGCUACUCUUACUCUUACAAAGAAAUGCUACUCUUAAUGAGGGGAGAAGCUAAUGCAUCCUGAGGGCGAGAGUCGAGAGCGAGAGUCAGUAGUGGAGUUUGCAGAAAUUAAGGAAUAGUGCAAACUAUUGUAAGUCUCACAGGCCCACAACACCAAUAGAACAUAAGUCGAAAGUGGAAAAGUGGACCCUGGGUGAAACUAAUAGAAGAGAAAGAUGAAGUGAAAAGCCGAGGAAAGAAGCCUUCUUCAGAUCACAACAAGCAAAGAAAAGAAAACUAAAGCAUAAGUAGAAGAGACAAGCAGAAAAGCGACUACCGAUACGAGUAUACUAGCUUUUAAGCCAUAAUCAGUAUAGUAUCUUCAAGCAAGGGCAAUAAGAGAGAGAGAAAUAGAUAGAUAUUAAUUGAUGUUUAGAGAACCAUUAGCCUUGUCCUUUGUUGAAUAAGCAGUGCACUUAGGACCUAAGCCCUUGAACGUAUGCAGCAGUAGAUUAAUUUGUAGCGGGGGUUUAGGUGGGAACUCUUCUUUCGAUGCUUUGGUGACAGAGAAGGAGGUCUUUUGCUUUAAAGCGGGUGAGACCACGUUUCGACUGUUCACUCAAUUAGAACGCUAUUGGUAGGAAAAUAUACCCUUGCUGCCUCUUUAGGAAUCAGGUGAAUCCGCUUUGGUGCUAUCAUACUCAUUUUAUAGUAAUUGAUUUAGUUAAAGGCUCUAUAACUCAAAAGAUCAUAAGAGAGAGAAGAAGAGUUAACGCAGCUAAGAGAUAGGAGAAGUCUGGCUUAAUAGAGACUUAUUGGAUAUUCUUUUAUACAUUCAGAGCCCGUUUAUGUGCAGUAGCCAUAGCCUUAAAAGCACCAGUUGGGGAGAAUGAGAUUGAGUUUUGUAAUACUCGUAGGCAGGAGCUGAGUGAACUACAGUAAAAGGAUCCUAGGUGAACUACAGUUAUUCGUUUAGUAGAGUUAGUCUAAUAGUUGGAAGUUAGUAGUUGGGUUGCCAGCCUGGUACCAAAGCCUUGUCUACAGUUCGAGAGUAAGCAAUAAGGUGUCUGGAUCAGAAUACUUAUCUUCAGUCGAAGUCAAAGCAAGUGCGACAACUACACCCUAUUCUUUCGUACCAGUACUUACCUAGUGAAAAUUAUUGACUUAUUUAUUUGCCUUUACUUCCGUGGUAUCUUAUAGCUGCUUGAGUGUCACACGUAACUGAUCUUGCCUUUACUGAUUAUGGGAUAGGUUCUUCUUACCCGCAAGUAGAAAGUAGUCAAUUGAAGAAUUUGUGUUGAUAGCACCGAUCAAUAGGUUCAAUUCUGUAGCACCGAUCAAACAGAGUAAACCCGGAGCAUAAGAGCUUAACUACUACUGUAAGAACCAACCUACAACUUCUAAUACGUUAACUCUCAAGUAAUAAAUCAACUGCGACUAACAAAAACCAACCUCGAAAUAAAGGCCUUUUAAUUAGAACUUAUAAUCAAAACUGUGCCUGCCAGGACUGAACCCAAGAACCUAGGCCUCAACACUGCCCUAACAAACCUACCUACAAACUCAUGCUUCACUGCUGCUAACAGGGCUCGAACUCGGGCAUACAAGAACAGCACUAUGGCUUUUGAUUCUCUAGCUGCUGGCUUUGAUUCUUCCAAUCCAUACCAUUGUUUAGUUCACCUCGUUUCAAACUACCUCUCUUGACUUGCGUUCUUACUAACACUAAUCCCAGUCUCCGACUCUAGGUCCUAGGCUUAUACUGCCUGAAACUCCAUCCAGCUACCUUCAACUAGUACUACAGGGAAUCCCGCUAUCAAGUCUGAAUACCACUUCAUUGUUCCAAGGCGUAGUACACAACUACAUAAUGACAUUGAUUGGUCCUCGAAAACAUAUAUUGUAAUAACUUCUACAUGACUGGGAACUAUAGCAGCCCUGCCCAGGACUACCUGGACUAUAACUACCGGUAUUCCACUCUGAUAACUCCACUCCAAAGUCAUUAAUUCAAAGGGAAAGGGGUUUGGGGAAGAAUCCAACUCGUAAGUAAGGGUAAGGGUAAGCGGCUGCCGCGUAACACGAACACAUCUGGAGUAAUAACUCGUAUAAGAAAUAGACUCUAUGCGGUUUCUUAUUGAAGUGGUCUUUUAGUGUCUUGGCUGCUGGGCUUUCAUUUGACUCUUGAGCUCCGUCCUCUGCUUCUGUUUCUGCUCGUUGAAAGUGACGUAUCAAGAAGCUCGUCUCGUAUAGACUCAUCUGCUGGCUAAUCCAUCAUUUGAUGCCCAUAAUCUUAUUUGUCCAACUCCUAAGCCGUAUUCCGAUCAGGCUGAGGAGUCUGUUUCUGAGCUUGUGUCUAAUCUAACACCGUAUGAUAGAAUUAGCGCUCCAUAAGGAAGAUAUUCUUUCCCAGGAACAAGAAGAUGCAAUCUUGGUUAGUUGUUUGAUAGAUCCAAUUCGGAACUGAAAGGAGAAGUCGGCUAAAGGUAAAUGUUCUUUGCUUUGUAUAGUAUAUGAAUUGUAAUGUGCUUUCUAUUGGAGAGGGGCUUUCGUUAGCACAAGGAAUGGAAUAAAAAGACUAUAAUCCAAGCUCGGCCAGGGCGUAAGACUAAAUGGGUUGUUAGAUUUGAAGCAGCAGGCGCAACUAACUCAGUAAGCGCAACUCAUUCAUUUGACUGAACUGUAAACUGGAACUGCAACAUGGAAUUGAAUGGNNNNNNNNNNNNNNNNNNNNNNNNNNNNNNNNNNNNNNNNNNNNNNNNNNNNNNNNNNNNNNNNNNNNNNNNNNNNNNNNNNNNNNNNNNNNNNNNNNNNNNNNNNNNNNNNNNNNNNNNNNNNNNNNNNNNNNNNNNNNNNNNNNNNNNNNNNNNNNNNNNNNNNNNNNNNNNNNNNNNNNNNNNNNNNNNNNNNNNNNNNNNNNNNNNNNNNNNNNNNNNNNNNNNNNNNNNNNNNNNNNNNNNNNNNNNNNNNNNNNNNNNNNNNNNNNNNNNNNNNNNNNNNNNNNNNNNNNNNNNNNNNNNNNNNNNNNNNNNNNNNNNNNNNNNNNNNNNNNNNNNNNNNNNNNNNNNNNNNNNNNNNNNNNNNNNNNNNNNNNNNNNNNNNNNNNNNNNNNNNNNNNNNNNNNNNNNNNNNNNNNNNNNNNNNNNNNNNNNNNNNNNNNNNNNNNNNNNNNNNNNNNNNNNNNNNNNNNNNNNNNNNNNNNNNNNNNNNNNNNNNNNNNNNNNNNNNNNNNNNNNNNNNNNNNNNNNNNNNNNNNNNNNNNNNNNNNNNNNNNNNNNNNNNNNNNNNNNNNNNNNNNNNNNNNNNNNNNNNNNNNNNNNNNNNNNNNNNNNNNNNNNNNNNNNNNNNNNNNNNNNNNNNNNNNNNNNNNNNNNNNNNNNNNNNNNNNNNNNNNNNNNNNNNNNNNNNNNNNNNNNNNNNNNNNNNNNNNNNNNNNNNNNNNNNNNNNNNNNNNNNNNNNNNNNNNNNNNNNNNNNNNNNNNNNNNNNNNNNNNNNNNNNNNNNNNNNNNNNNNNNNNNNNNNNNNNNNNNNNNNNNNNNNNNNNNNNNNNNNNNNNNNNNNNNNNNNNNNNNNNNNNNNNNNNNNNNNNNNNNNNNNNNNNNNNNNNNNNNNNNNNNNNNNNNNNNNNNNNNNNNNNNNNNNNNNNNNNNNNNNNNNNNNNNNNNNNNNNNNNNNNNNNNNNNNNNNNNNNNNNNNNNNNNNNNNNNNNNNNNNNNNNNNNNNNNNNNNNNNNNNNNNNNNNNNNNNNNNNNNNNNNNNNNNNNNNNNNNNNNNNNNNNNNNNNNNNNNNNNNNNNNNNNNNNNNNNNNNNNNNNNNNNNNNNNNNNNNNNNNNNNNNNNNNNNNNNNNNNNNNNNNNNNNNNNNNNNNNNNNNNNNNNNNNNNNNNNNNNNNNNNNNNNNNNNNNNNNNNNNNNNNNNNNNNNNNNNNNNNNNNNNNNNNNNNNNNNNNNNNNNNNNNNNNNNNNNNNNNNNNNNNNNNNNNNNNNNNNNNNNNNNNNNNNNNNNNNNNNNNNNNNNNNNNNNNNNNNNNNNNUUUAUUCUAAGAUCCUAUCAUGUAGGCUGGCUGGGUGUUAGAGAUGAUAAAGCUGCUUCUGGUCUUGGGUGUACGAGAUGAUAAAGUAAGUGUAGUCUCUUUCUUUGGCUUUGAAGUGAGGUAUGCUUCAGUUGCCAGAGGAGAAGUAGAUGAGCAAUAACUGUAUUGGAGAAGUAGAUGAGCUAGAGAGGUGAGCUAGUUGUCCUGUUGCAUCCUUAGUUGAUUGGAGGGUAGGCUUGCUGGGUGUUAGAGAGAGUUGAGUCUACAGGCUUUGAAGCUAUAAGUAAAGAAGUACGUACAGGAUCGGAUCGGAUCAAGAAGUAAAGGAUCGGGUUGGUGCUCUAGCCUAGCUCCAAGUCUUGUUUCGGGUGACAGUCCAGUAGUAUACGCUUGCCCCUGUUCGAGUGAAGUGAUAGUCCGAAUCCCUUGUUUCAAGCUUAAUAGUAAGGCUCGGGAGCUUGUGUUAAGCAAAGAAGUUUUCCACAUCCUUUGCAUAUCCUUUGUUAGCUUUUCCACUCCAUAAUUGGAUCUUUUCUUUAUAUAUGAUGAAACUCACUCGGGUCGGGUGGUGGACUGACUUUUGAGGCUGGGUUACUGACUUAGUUGACUUUCACCGAUUAGAUUAUAGCUGACUUACCCAAUGACUUAUGGUUUUAAGCUCGCUACCGCGCAACGGACGUAGUUGCUUGGUCCUAGUGUCGUAGUUGCUUGCCGUCUUGUCUAGUCGUUGCUUGGCUGUUUGAUUCGGUGCUCAAAAGAUAUAUUCCUGUCCUGUUUUCGGCGCCAAUAGGUGUUGUUGACUGUUCCUCUUUAGGAUCCCCGAAGGAGAAGAUCAUCUCUUUUCGAAUGCCCACGGAGAGGAGAGCAGUAAAGUAUCAAGGAACCGUAGCGCGUAGAAGGCAAGAUGAAGCUGCAAGCGGAAAGUAUAAAGGGGAAGUUCAGAGCUAGAUGACGAUGUUCUUUUCUUAGGCAGAAAGUUGGCAAUCCGUUUUAUCCACCAUAGAAGCUCUGCAGAGGUGCUCUAGCUCUAAGUCUAGGAAAGUAGUACUUAAUUGUCUAGUAAAGGAGGAUAGGAUUCUGUGCUUGUGUUAAGCUAUGAGUCAAUAGAGAAAUAGUGGUUUUCGUUUCUAUGCUUGUCUUUGAAUGGAGUAGUAGCUUGUCGAUUCGGCUUCUUACUAGAUAGGAGAAAAGAGAGUCGAUGGGGCUUCUUCUUAAUACGAUGAAACUAGAACAGGAACUUCCCAUUCUUAUGCUGAUGAUUCCGCUCUUGCAGAUGAUCCAACUAGUAACUACUAAUGUAUAGCGUUAGUUAGAGGGGCUCUUUAAACUCACACUCAUUCACUUAGGGCUAGGGCAUCAAAGCCAGUAAAAGCAUCUUCUACAAAGGCAGGGUUCAGGUCAUAAGCAUAAGAUGGAGCUUUCGGGUUCAGGGAUGCUAUGUCUUUACUCCAAUAUAUCAUUAGUGCUCAUAAGAAAGUAUUGCUUGUUCUGUUUCCAGAUCAAAUGUAUGAGAAUUGCCAGUUCCGGUUCCAGCAUUGUCUGCAUCUGCAAGUAGAGUAGAGGUCGGGGAAGACUAUCAUACUGUGAAAACUCCAGUUCGCGCAACUCUGUAAUGGAAAUAUUACUUCUCUUAUCGCAUGUCAUAUAAGUAUGGAAUUCCAGAGCCCACCCACAGCCAGGUCAUAUAAGUAUAGAAUUGGAGAGCCCCACCCAGGUCAUAUAAUCUUGAAUGGAAAUGAAUAAUCUAUCUUUUGACUGUUGUGCAUUAAUAAAUACGGGGAACAAGAAACAACAAUAAUAUUUCCACCCCGAACCCAAGAGUAAGCUAAUGCACCCGCAAAGUAUUAACUUACUUAAGAAUGGAGUUUUGGAACCUACCCCAGAAAGUCAAAGAGGAGAGUCUGCUGCGGUGUCAAAGUAAGCUAACAAACAGACCCCAAGAGUAAGCAUUAGCGAGCGAAUCUACUCAUUUAUUAUUCCCAUCUUCUUUGCCAGGAAUGCAUUCAAGCAGAUUGGCUGGAAAGAUGAUAGUUGCCAUACGUCCUACUCCUUCGAUGGAAUGUUUGAUUGAUUGACCGGACUGACUUCCGCUUGGCCUACUUGAACUAAAAAACAUAAAGCAGAGACAGAGAGAGGAAUUUGAACCCUAUUAUAUAAGUAAGGGCUACUAAGGCAGAUAGAGGCCACUUUCUAACAACCAUGCAAUAAGUAGGGACUACUAAGGCAGAUAGAGGCCAAGGCCACUUUCUAACAACUAUGCUAGCAAGCGCUCCCUUUCGCGAGAUCCUAUCUCUUUUUCUCUAUUUUGUGUUCCGAAUCGGAAGAUAUUCGUAGUAUAUACCUUCUUCUCUUCCUUUUCCGGUAUACUAAGCCAAACAGAUUACGCUCUUGACAAAUGAACACUAAUAGAGGACUUGCCCGUACCGUGCUACUGCCUUGACCUAGGAUGGGUUUCCUCACAUCGGAUUAAGAACUGGAAAAGCUUGCAAAUACAGAUAUUCUAAGACAUAACAUUCUGCGGCAAAGAGCCCAGCCCAUUCGAUGGCAUCUGCGUUUCCAUGUUGUUACUCUUACUCUUUUAUAGGGAUAGCUAUAGCUACGGUUCUGGCUUGAACGGGAAUAAAUCCAUGAGAGGCACCCCUUUUCUUUUAUCAAACUUACGGACUUAGGUCAAAACAAAGAAAGUAUUUACCAACUUUACUUGGCUUGAUUUCUUUCCUGUUGCUGGAAUAACUGGUGUUGAUAGAAUAGAAGUUUCCGCUUCCAAUCUUAUCUACGAAGCUGUGAUUGAAUCAGUAACCGAUGUUAUUAGUGCCUUUCGUCACUGGAUUGACUGCUUUCCGUUAGCCAUUUCUUUCGCCUAGUUUGUUUUCCUUUCUUUUCUUACUGUCCUGUUGUAGUAAUAACCGAUGGUGGAGUCAUUACCGCUGCUUUAGUACUCGUAGCCGCUUCAGCUAUUAAAGAAUCGGAUGUACAUGAAUCUGACUCUAGAUCUAUCCAUUUAAUAUAUACUUAUAUAAUAUCUAUGAUCUAUGAUCUAUUACUAUGAUAUUAAUCUAUGAUCUAUUACUAUGAUAUGAAAUUGGCCACAUCUUAAUCGUAUGGGACCCAGGAGCGGAGAAGGACUCAGGCGAAGCAAAGUCAUCCUUAUUACAUAUGUCUUGCUAUUAUAUAGCAGUAGUCGGAGUAGCACUAGGAUAAGUCGGGGAUUUACUGUAUUAAGUCUGAUCCCGUUGCUUGGCCCUGUAACACCCUCGUUUAAGUCUUGCACUCCUUAGGGACAUUCUGUAACUCUUAUCCACUUGCUUGGCCCUCACCAGUAGAUUGAACUCUAACUUGACUUUCCUUUCGAACAGCUUCCACAGCAUCUCCACUCAUAAACUAUCCAACUCAUGAAUUUGAAUUGAACUCUCUUGCAUAGCAUCUAAGAUUUGAGCUCUGAUAACGAUUUCUUGCCCUAGUAGAUAAGAAUGGAAACUUCAUUAGAAAAUUAGCUUCAAAUAAGGGGCCUCCUAUAGCGCAUCUAACAUUGAAUUGAGUAUAUCGAGCACCCAGCAUAGAAACCAGUAAAUACCCUGCCUGCUAGCUCUUGCCUGCCUAAGCAAAGAUCCCACUCUGCACUUCAAUGUCUUUACUAUAUUCUUUCUUUUGACCCAGCCUAUCUGGCAUAUGAUAUAAGCGAGUAACAACACCACUUAUUAAACAACUGGUGGAUCACAAUCAGAAGAUGGAGCUAGAUCGGAAGUCGAAGUCAAAGAAGCAGCUUAGGGAGAAGAAUAAGAAGCUCUGCUCUAUCAAGAUCUAAAGCUGUGCUAAAAGAAGGGUAUAAAGCAAGUGGUUAUGCAAGUGAAGAAGCUUUAUCUAGAUCAGACAGAAUCAAUUACAGGUAAGGUGCUAAGAGCCCGUUAGAACAAGUGGUUCCGGAAAUACGCAUUGUCCCCUUUCUUUUGACCCGAACUAUAGUUUAAGAACCGAUGGCUGCUUACACAGAUUCAAGUCGAACAGGAACAGGAAGGGAUUUGAGUGCAGAAACAUAGGAUCUUGGCGCAGAAAGAAGCUACGUUAGCUUGUUUACCCUUUGAAUUGAACCGCUUCCACUUAAAGAAAUCUAUUUCGAACCUAGCUGUCAAGAGAGAUGGGCCUAGCCUGGAUUGUCUUCAAACUAUCUGACACCGGAAUCAGGACUUAGCGCUUCAGAUAGAAGGCAAUAAUCUAGGAAAGAAGAAAAGAAGGCAAUAAUCUCGGUGUUGGGCUCGGAUCUGUCUCUGUUAAGGUAGUUCGGGCGGGAACAUCUCUUUUUAACCGCUAAACCUUUGAUUCUGUAAUUACCUGUACUGGCUUAUAUACGAGAUUCCACUUACUUCUUUUCAUCUACUGUCGGAUCUAUCAGCUUCCUUUCGCCUAAAAUCAGUGUUUUGCAUUCAAUGCUUGCCGAUAUUCCAUUACUUGUUGGUUUAGGUUAGGUUCCUUUAGAAGUUUGCGCUAUCCUAUAUUCUUGAAGUGAGUUGAGAAGCAAAAGGAAAGCUAUAGAGCUUACCGAGUUUUUGGUUGUCUACUUGUCUAUACUAAGCUUGGUCGUUAGUAGUUACUUGGCGGGACCUUAACUCACAACAAAGACUGCUGCUACUUACUCCAUCACUUAAUUGACUAGACCUCAGGUUUGCUCUGCUGCUUUUUAUUCUACAGCUACAGCCUAUGAUCCUUUACAAGUUAGUAUACCAUACCACUCGUUAGCUUCGAACUGGCAUUCCCUUAUCCCACUCGCCAACUAGUAACUCUUAGUCCGAAACACUUGCAACUCAAUCUGGAUUUCAGCCCCCGGGAAGAGAUGAAUGGAUAACUCUUCCCUUCUUGUAUUCGUUCCUGUCAUCCUUAGUUAGAUGCUUCCAUUUACUUAUUCCAUUCUGUAUUACCUAAUGUCAUUAUAAUAGGCUUAGACUAUACUCUUGCCUUUAACUCUUAGGCAACUGCCUUACAUUUAUUAAUUGAAAAGUUUGAUGAUCCGCUCUCUCAUUCUAUGACUCCGCCCUCAACGCUCUAUGCUCCCUUUGCAAUCUUCCAAUCCAGGUACGAUGUAGUGCAUCUACUAAUAGGAAUAGGUCUAAUAGGGAUAGGUCUAAUAGCACUAGCCACAAAAAUAACACUAGCAACAAAAAGAAGCUUUAGGAAAAAGAACCAAACUAAGUACUAUCAGAAUCAAAUUACUAUUAACAAGUGCAAUUAUCUGUUUUCCUUGGAAUUGUAAGAAUAUCAUUUGGAAUGCGAGGGAAGGAAGGAACUUUAUAACUCACUGAUCUGGUCUACUUCAGUUUUAGGGAAAAGGGCGGUAAGCGAAGUCAGCGGGAAAGCUGGAAUCCCCGUAUUACUCUCGAUGACUCUCGGAUCUCUGUUCUUAGGAUAGAAGCGAGGCAGGUCUAUGUUCUUAAGAAGAAAUGCACUAUAACAUUAGGGGGUAAGCAUGUGUCAUUUGCCAUAAGCUACGUUACACAUGGAUUAUAAACAACGAGAAUGGGCUAUUUUACAGUUUGCUUGUAGUUAAGGGUAGAAAAUCAAAGAUGAAGUAACAUCCAACACCUAGAGACUUUCCUGCUCUUUUGCAUCUGAUAAAGCUGAUGCUCCUGCUUAAGAUCCAUAUCUAUAUACUCCUCCGACUGCUGAUACUUAGUCUGAUCCCGUAUAUUCUCUAGCUGAUAAUCUUGAUUCUUCUCCAGCUACUGAUCUCAUCGACUUCAAUUUGAGACUUGGACUGGACCAUAACUGGAGCGCACGUAGCAGAACCUUCUCUAUACUUAAUAAAGGAGUAGGCACAUUAACUAAUGGAAUAGUGGAACCUAACAGAGCAUUACUCCACUUUUGCUUCCCUUCCCCUAUUGCUUGUUCCUGUUGCUUCCCUUCCCCUAUUGCUUGUUCCUGUUAGCUCACCUAAGCUUGUUUCGAGCGCAGAAAAGAGAAUUGACCGUAACUCCACUUCGACAGAAACGCUUGAUGGUUCAGCUACCUAUCCCCCUGACUUGGGUUACAAACUCAUUCUAUAACUGAACAUGUGCACCUACAUUCAACAAGUACUAUUUGGGGAACUGCACCCGCACUGCUCACUGACGCCUCGCCUCUGAUCCUUAUGAAGAGCCAGAUCUUGUAACUGCCUUUGUAGUAGUUUCUUGUUUCAGCCUAGGGGAUACGAGUGAAUCUCAUCUAACUCGUAAUCUUGAUUCUCCACUUUGAUACCUAACCUCAACCUAAACUCUUAAGUCAUCCGAUCCUUACUCAGAACCAAUGACUCGCUAACGUGCAACAGCUUUAGGUGGGGCCAGUAGGGCGAAUAACCCAAUCUAUCCUUCUAUCUUAUCUUAUACCUAUGACUUAGUUUUAAGUCACACUUUUACUAUUUGUUACAUAUAGCUUGUACUCCCUUAACCGAGUGAGCACUUUCCUAAGGUGGUACAAGUGAUCCUCUCGGGAACUAACUAUAGACAAGAAUCUUCUCAAGAUGGACAAACAAUAAGAAAGCGAUCAAUAAAGUUCUAAGUUCUAAUGGACAUCAAUCACUCAUAAAAUGUGAGAGGCUAGGCCGUUAUAAGCCCAAAUGCAUCCAAUUAUAGAAGGCAGAUCUAAGCCCCAAUGGCAUGACACAGAACUCUAAAGCUAUAUCUGGUAAGAGAAGCGAAGCGGUUUUAGGCUCGUCUCCCCGCUUCCGCAAUUUACACUUUCCUAUAGAGAAAUUCUAUAUAAGGUUUAAGGUCCAGUGAAGAAAGAGGCUUUUGACAAUCGGUCGAAGAGAUCAGCCACCAAAGUUCGAGGAUACUUCUUAUUCAUUCGAAUCUUGUUCAGUGCACGAGAGUCCACACACAUGUGCUAAGAGCCAUCUUCCAGAGAGAGUUAAGAGCAAGUAAACAACCAAACAAGCAAUAGGAGGUCUAUGUUCUCAAGAAAAUAUGCAUUUAAGGAGCUGUCAGGAAGGCAACAUAGGCAAUUCUCCAUUAGCUACGUCACACAUAGGUUAAACACCGCAAGAGGCCCAUAUAUUCCAGUUUUACCGAGCACUCAUUAUGUUGUUGGGCCAUACAUAAUAAAGGUGAACAAGCCUUCCUACUCAAGCUUCUUUCUUACUGAGGUACGUAGGUCAAUGAACUAUGAAUUUGACUCAAGCUUCUUUCUUACUGAGGUACGUAGGUCGCAGUGCGGUUAAGUAUCAAAGAAAGUAAGGAGAACAAACAAGUAAAGAAGCACCCAACCCGUCUUUUCAAUGAGCAACAGAGCACUCAGAACUGACUAAUGCCACCCACUAAAGCAAGCAGCAAGUAAGCAAUGGCCUUCUAGUCAUUUCCAGUUCUCUUAUUACCAACAGUCAACUUGACUCUAACCUGUGCAAGAGCAAGCCAAGUUCAGAGCCGAGCUGGAGGUAACAAAGACUAAUAAAUAAACGUCUUCUAGAGGAACAGAAAAGAAUUCCAUUGAAGUAUAGAAACACAUUUGUCACCAACCAUAGGCAUAGCUUUCACAAUGAAAUGCAAAUGAACGACAACAACGCCAACUAAUACACGUCACUGAUUGCCUGAACCUUUAUUAUGGCCUUCACUACAGCAAACACUUAAGAUGAGUUAUUCUUCCUAUGAUAUGAUAGUAAGCCACUUCUUAGGCACCUUGAAUUGAGAGUAGCGCAAACAAGCAAGCAGGGCAAAAGAAAGAGAUUCUGGUUGUAGCUCAGUGGUAGAGCGGUCGGCUGUUAACUUACUGCUGGGAGAAAUGUUACCUCUAUCGGAUUUGAGAGACAUAAGUCCAAGAAAGAGGCAUAAUGGCCUUUCUACAUAGGCCUACUUACUUAGCGAGUUCUGCGCACUUUAAUGUUUCAAGGAGCAAACUCUAGAUAUGAAACAAGAGAAGGGACUGCCGCUACACAUUAGUAGUUGCUUGUCCCGUUGCUCAAUAGCUCCUGCCGCGGAACGCGAACACAGGACUUGUUUAUAACUUGUAAUAUCUAUGCUAUUGCUGCCGCGCAGCGGCUUGCUUAGUUGCUUGGCCCUUGGCGGUCAUUAGAAGUUGCUUGGCCCCCUUCCAGCUUCAAAGCCUUCUACUCAUACUAGAUGCUUGGCCUCCGAUGUCACUAUGCAGUCGAAUUCUUCUAGUUACUAGUUUGAUUCCUAGAUUGAUUCCCAACUGACAACCCUCGCAUUAGGAGUAGGAGCUCCCACUGCUUAUUCAGAUUCUCGAGUCGCAAAGACAGAUACAGAUCAAUAAUAAGUUGGCAAAGGGGGUAACUCCAUUCUUAGUGUUUCAAUAGACAAGUAAGCACCGGUCCCUUAUGAUUAUUAGUAGCGGUCUUCCACCCUAAGUUCUAGUGUUGGCGACGAAGCUGGAAGUUACCUUCCUUAUAGUACUGAAGUUUCGAAUUUCAUUAGUUUACAGAGGUGGAUGAGAUUCAAUAGUAUCUAUAGAUUCAAUCGUGUAUGCUCGCAACUACUAGCCAAAGCUUGAAAGGGACAAUUUAGUAAGCAGCAAGGAGAGUUGAGUCUCGCAUAACUUAUUCUGAUUGAAACAAUCAAUUGACUAGCGGCCCCUAAGAGAUUCCCGCGACUCGGUAAAGCCUUAUUGUAUCCCGCGCGCAACUCGAAAUCUGGUCUUAAAGCCAACUACUCUCCCUGGCGCCACUGCUGUUAAUAAGUAACUAACCACUGCAGCUCUUUUGUUUGAUACCCUCCGGUUUCUCUUUUGACUUAAGUAAGCUGUUUUGAAAGCUGGACUCUCAUCUACUUCUCCUAUUGCUACAAAGACAGAUGCUACUGCCCCUAAUACUGAUUCCGCUGUACCACGACCACUAGACUACCGGUACCUACCAUAUCUUAUAUUAUGAAUUCCUAUUGAACAGGACUACUUGAAUGAAACAGGACUACUAUACUACACCUCUGGCUUAUCUAACUCUUGCAACUAAUACUUCUUGAAACACUGGUUUCUUCAUUCUUUCACUACUUAUAGCUUCCUCGCCUCCUGCUUGCUCUACUGAUCUAACUGUUAAAGAAAAGGUAGAAUACCACUCCACUACACCUCUGAUUCAAGUGACCAAUUCCAAUGUUACUCACAGCUAAAUCUCAAUUGGGUGCUUAAGGCUUGAAAGUUUCAGUCAGUAGUGACAAGAACACCAACACAGGUGCAUUAAAGAACACCAACACAGGUGCAUUAAUUAUAAGGGCAUUGGUUGGCUUUCCCCUACAUGCUUAGUGAUUGGCUUAGAGGUUGUUUUUGUGUUAGAGUCAACUUCAGAAUCUGGCCGUGAAAAGGUCAGGGUCAAUUCCUUGCUCCCUUCUUUCUUACCAUAGCUCCCUUCCUUCAACAGCUUUUUCUUAGAUUCUGAUCCAGAGUUAACCUGUGCUCGGUUACGCGGAGGAGUUUGUUCCCUGAGUUACCUAUGGAUAUCAUGCCUAGGGUUGGUUAGCUAGCCUCACUUCAAGUUGAGGCCCUUAUAGUCGGAGACUUGCCCUUAUACAUACAGGCGCUACACGGGUAACUCGCUUAUAGAUAAAGUUCUAAUUGAAUCAGCUUACGGAGUUCUCUGUCUUAUUUGGAAUCUCAUGCACAUCUAUAUGGGUAAUCUCAUGCAUAUCUAUAAUGGUUAAUCUCAUGCAUAUCUAUAAUGGUUAAUCUCGUGCGCAUCUCUAAUAUAAUUGGAUAACAUUACUUCUUUCUUAUAUACUCUACUAUUUAUUUAUUAAACCUAACAGGCUUUCAGCUCCUUUCUUUUGCUUAAAAUAAAACUGCCUGUUCACUUAGCAACUACAAUUCAUUCAAGUUUUCUAUAGCACCCCGGAAAGCUCACGUUAUCCCUUGCUUGCUGAUUGUGAUCUACCAGUUGCUUCCGCUUCACCCGAAACAAUACUUUUCAUUGUGGAUUCUGUUGGUUAUGAUUCUUCUUCUUCUAGAACCGGAAUUGGCUGGCGGUUCACAAACAGAGCCUCCGGGUGGCGAAGGAACAAGUGACCAGUUACGCGUUAGUGAGUUAACCCUUCUCCUCUUACAAGGUGUUAUACUCAAUACUAAAUACACUCAAUAAACCCAUCUAUCCCCUUUGCCUCAAACUGUUGACUCUUACGUUAGCACUGAGUCCAGCUUAGAGUAAAGGAAAACAUUCCAAUCUGCCGUUGUUUAACCCGCUAACGCACCCGCUAAAGAAUGAAAGGAAGUAGUAGGAAGUAGUUUAAGCUUAAAGCAUAUAGUAUGAUUGACUCAGGACUGGAACUCUCAAUUAAUAACCUAGGGCUGCUUACUUACUUAAGACUUAUGCAUUCGAAAAGAGCUUCUUGAACCGACAACCCAGACUUGCUUCUCAAGCUACCCCCAGCCCAAGAGCUUCUAUAGUAGGGAAAACACCUUUGCGUCUACCAGCUCCUGCCGCUAGUGUUCGCUAAGUUAACUAAUACAGUUAUUGCUCUAGACGACUCUGGACUACUCGUAUACAAGUUUGGGAUUCCACUAGAACAAGAACAUAGGUAAACUUACAAUAAGGGCUUCUAAUAAGCACCCGACCCGACCUCUAUUUAUGACACUUGCCUCUCCUCUGGCAACUGUUGCUUGGUUGCUCGCUCCUCUAUGAAUUGAGUUUACUUACCUAUCCCUCUUCCCUGGCUCCGGCUACUAAUCUAACUAUCCUCUUGACACUAGCUGCCCUCCCGAACCGACCUCUGCUCCUAUAACUGAAUGAGGAUUGGCUGUGGAAUCCUAUUUCCUAUAUGAAGAUAGAUCAAAUGAACCUAUAUGUUUCUCUUCUAAACAAGUACUGUGGUUAGUAUAUGAUAAAGAUCUCGAGUUUUCUGGUUGAUUUAGCUAAUCUGAAGGUGUUAAGUCUACUCUCUUCUUUAUAAAGAAACUACUCGCUUCACCACCCUAUGCCUCUGCCCAAGAAGGCAGGUUAGCUAGUCAAUUUCAGGAAGUCAACCAGCUUGCCCUCGUAUUGGACACUAGAGGCUCCAUUAGUUUUAUAGGCAAUAGGCACCCCGCAUCUAUUCUACUAUUCACCCAUAAUGGGCACCCACAAUCAGUAUUGCCAGGCCCGGACUCAGUUGGUUGAAAGAUCAUAAUUUUGGUUGAAAGAUCUGAAAUAAAGAAAUAAGGCUUGUAAGUAAGGGUGCCUAGCCUGUCGGAGCUCCUGCCGCUAGUCAAUUUCGGGAAUGAAACAACUACCCUCGUCUCAAAGCCAGUACAAGUCCUUUCUUCGACCCCUAAGAUGUUAGGCAGAAAUGCAUUUAUAGGUUCCGGCGGGGGUACUCGAUGUCCUAUUUGCUAUCAAACUCAAUAAGAUGCGAAAGAAUGGCCUUUUCGCCCGACAAGUCACUACUACAAAACCAUAGAAAGGACAGAGCGCAUAUAAUAUGGUUUAUAUAAAUUAUUGCCAAGUCCUAAUUAAUAGCUUAAGGCGCGGGGGUUGCCUGUCCUCAUUUUCCAUCUGACUUGACUCUAUCUCAUUCCCCAGCUACAUGACUUGACUCUAUCUCAUUCCCCAGCUACAACUUCUAGGGCAAAAACCAACUUGUUUACUUUAUCCGUGCUUUCCCGGUCGCUGUAACAGCUACUCGCCAGAACACCUAUGAAGGUUGUAAGGCCCCGGCAACAACAAGAAGCAUUAGCGCAACGCAACAAUAAGUAUGUUACCACACACGGCAAGGAAGGAGAAGGGGGCUUCCAAGAAUGAAGCUAUCCACCUACAAGCAAGAAUGAAGUGUUUCAACAAUCUAAUUGAGUAAACGACUUCCUGACUAACUACUGGAAUCACAAAUAGGCCCCUAGAACUCAUGUUAGCGCAACAGCGAAAGAAAAGAAUGUUGCUAUCCAUACAAAGAAUGUUGCUAUCCAUACAUAUAGAAAUGAUGAACAACACUGUUUUGCUUCCCUUAAGUUGGACUGGGCGCACCCCAGAAAGUCAGCUAAUUAGAGGCACGCACCCCAGAGAGUCAGCUAAUUAGAGACACCCCAGAAAGUAAGCUAAUUAGAGGCAUCCCAGAAAGUAAGCUAAUGCACCACCUUAGGCUUGCGCAACGGUUAACUCACUACAGACUUUGAGAACUACCGUUAGCACUUUGUCUAUUUACCCUUCCUUCUUUGUUCUCUUACUUGUUUAUUGGUUUUCCUUACUGGAAGGAUAUUUCUCUAAGCAGCCUUACCCUAUGCUUUGUAUAUAAAAUGAGAUGAGUAUUUGACCUCAUGUCCUUGUCUUCUGGUUUGAGUAUACUAGUUUGUUCCGUUGCUAGUUCGCAUAUGAUAGCAUAUGGGCUUUGCUUCUGCACCUCUACUACAAAAGAGCCAGAGUCGAGGCCUUUAUAGUAAGUUGACAAUAAGAAUGGAAGGAGAGUUCAAAUUCUCCUAUGUUUUUUACUACUUAACUAGUACAGUGUCAGUAGACGGGGCCAAGCUACAGUGCGUACUAGAGCAAGAAACCCUGCUGAAUCUUCAUUUACUCAUUAAAGUAGGGGCCAAGUGCUGUAUUCGUCUUCGGCUUAACUAUUGACUCUCGGGUGAACAGCGUUGACAGAGCCCUCCCUCUCACCAACUACAGGCUCGGUUGAUGCAAUCGGUAACUAUGUAAGAUAGAAUCCCGUCCGAUAACACUUCGUACUGCACUGGGUUAGCAAGAAAGAAGUCAACUAGGUAAAGAAGUAAACCAGCCUGCCCUCGUAUUGAAGUACCCUGCCCCUAUGGAAUAAAACAAGUAAUGCNNNNNNNNNNNNNNNNNNNNNNNNNNNNNNNNNNNNNNNNNNNNNNNNNNNNNNNNNNNNNNNNNNNNNCAUUAUAACAUAGUAUUUGCCAAAACAGCUGCCGCGCAACACAAACAAAGGAAUAGUUAUAACUAAGUUAUAACUACUUAUUGCUGCUGACGCUCUUUUAGCUCGCUACCGCGCCUAGAUCGGCUUGGCGAACACAGGACUUGUUUAUAACUUGUUUAUAACUUCCUAUUGUUGUUACUGCCGCCGAAAACAUCUACUGUAAUAACUUCGUUAUGACUAUUACUUGCUGCCGCGUAACGUUAGUAGUUACUUGGCCGCCGUUGCUUGUCUAUCCGUUACUUGUCUAGUUGCUUGGCCGUUUGUAGGAGUUGCUUGGCCCCGCUUCAGUUCAGAGUUGAGUGUAGUUCUCAUAUGACCAAUUCCCCAAGUAAGCUGUAUACUUGCUAUGUGCUCGAGAGAUUGGUAACCAACCUGGCUAAUUCUUCUGUCCAUCCUUUUGUAGGGGCAAAGACUCUGUCCUUUGUUCACCAGUCUUCAUGGCUAAAGGAGAGCUCAAUCCUACUUAAUUAUAUCUUAUAAUAUAAUAGAACUGACAAAACUCUGGAUUCGAAUUAGAUGCAAGGGAGCGGUGCUCUGGAUCCCUUAUGAUUAUUAGUUUCAGACCGCUUCUAAGUCACUCACUACUACCAGUGAGUAAGUUGUUCUGCCCUGUUAGCCUAACAUCUUGAUGGCAAAUGCCCUAUGUUGCCUCAGGAAAUGACCCUAUAGUGCUUUUUAGUGGAAAUUCCCCUUAAAGUAGUUCAGAAUGAAAGCUCUCAGAGGAGAAGAGCAGCCCCUGUUCACGGAUACCUAAAAACAUAAAGCCCAGUUAGGAAGUAGGGUUAAGGGGAAGACACGGAAUCCUUAGCCGGGUAUUGAGAUAGAAGCCUAGAGUUCAGUUGUUGGUGACGAAGCGGGAAGUUCAGAGUUUCGUUCAGAUAGCCCGGGAAGUUCAUCAGUAUUUGUUUGAUAGGCGAUAGGCUACGGGUGUGACUCAAAUCUACUAAUCCAACGGGUGUGACUCAAAUGCUAAUUUGACUAAUUUCACUUUGACUAAUUUCUUUACUAUAGUAGUAGGCAAGGAAUAAGGCUAAACCGAGUAUCAUCUGUUUAAUACCGGGUGUCAGUUGCAAGAGGAGAGGGAGAGUUUCAGACUGGUAGUAGUAGCCCUGGGAGAGUCCAGUCCGUCCGCCUCCAAGUCAACGAGAUCAUAAGCCGCCUUAUCUGUAUCCGUAUCAGGAUCAGGAACAGCUCUUUACUCGCACCCACACUACACUUGCAGAACCGUUUGAUGCUUAUUUUCUUUCUUCACCGAAAUAGUUAGUAUCACCUGAACCCUUGAUUCGAGGACACACAGUCAGUAACUGGACACUCCUUUUAGCCUAGCCCGUAAAGGAAACAACGUUGCUUGCUCGCUCUUUCUUCCUCACCUGUAGACUCAACACCUGUAUAAUAAACUCUCACUGCUGUUUCCUCUCUACUUGAAUCAGAGCUUAUUUUCUUUCUUUAUAAUAAGAUUAACCAAGGGGUAAAACUCUAGUUGUACUGCUCCUGAUGGUACUGCUCCCGUCCUCGGUAUUCCACUUUAAUAACUUCUGAUUUUGGGCUUCUUCUGUUGGGCCUGUACUUAACUCUGCCCCGCCCUCUUUACUAUCGGAUUGCCCCAACUCUCUUACGAGCAAGUCAACCAGUCAAUGAUUUUCAUUGAGUUUAUCGAGCAUGUAAUAUAUCUUAUAAGUAAAUACACAUAUAAGUAAAUACACAGCAUAUAUUUUGCCGACCACAACUCAUAUUGUUUAGCCAAUCACUUCUCUCUAUUCUCUAUGACUUAGAAACACGAACUUAACUCUCAGACCCAAACUUACUUAACAGGAGGGUAACUCUAAGAAUCGACAACACAAACUACAUUGCCAACACAACACCGAUUUGCUUCCCGUAUCAAGCAUCUGAUAUUCGAAUUUCGGAAUGGAAUGAAAGAGCUACCAAGCUAACCUUAGCAACUACUGCGUAAGAGACUCGGCGCUCAACUAAGUGCGUCAGGGAGAAUUGUGGAAUUAUUGCUAAGGGUCUGUAAGGCGCUCAGGGAAGGGAAGGCAAUAGAGCUGAAUAUCAAAUAGAAGCGUUAGAUAUGGAUUCUAUAAUGAUUUGUUUUAACUGGCACUAAAACCUGUGUUUUCACCCCGCUUUUGAGUCCUGAGUGAACCUGUGCCCUUAUGUAAUUGGCGUCAGUCUUAUCCCUCUUACCACCCAACACCAGACUUGAUAUCUUUUGGUUUCUACCUUCCCUUCCGCUUAGAGUAAACAAAGAGCCAAGACACUCAAAGACAACUACUGUUCUCGUUCAGGGAGUUUCUUUCCUCUCCUAUGCCUUCGCCUAGCCUAGCCUGAUGUCGGUGCCUAGAAGCUACUUCUGCAGUUACGUAUAGCCUUAUUUUCACUGUGAAGACAGUUAAGACAAUCAGUAGUCAACAAAUUCUUCUUUCUUAACCGAGACUAACCUAAUUGCCUGCUUCCAUAUGAACACUUCGCACCAACCUCUGCUCUGCGCACCAACCUCUUCUCGACGCGCCUAAGCUUGGUCAUUAUAAGUGACUUGGUGGAUCCGACUCGGUAGUUAAAGAGUGAAAGAGGUGAGCUACAUAUUGAAAGUAUUGAUUGGAAGAAUAAGAGACAGAUAGUACAGGUUCGAGUAAGAUAUGAACUACAGUUGCCAUAGUAGAGGUCUGGGAAGCAAGAGAAGCGGAGUGGUUAGUUUACAGAGGAGAGGAAGUAUUAGUAGUUAUCGGAGAAGAAAUACCCUUUUGCUCUAGUACUGUUUCUUGGCCGGGAUUAAACAAGUAGUAGCUUGGCGGAGUGCUUUCUUUGUCGGGAGCUCACACUUCUACUUAUCCCGCUAAUGAUCUAGCGUAUAUUUAGAUAGAAUUGAGGUAACGAACCUACCUAACGGAGUGAAAGGGUAAGAAUGACAGAAUGGAAUUUAUAACUAAGAUAGAAGGGAGUGGAGCAACAGUAAUACAUCCUCUGUCCUAGAUAGGGUAGGAAAUAGCCUACGCUUUCAACUUCACCUUGUUUAUACCUACGCUUUCAACUGCACCUUGUAGUGGCGCACCGAACCUCGCUCCACGAUACCUUGCUUCAGCGGAUUAACAUUGGGCUUCUUCCUCUAUAUAUGAUUAUCUUGGCAAAGCUACCGCGACAGAACUCGUAGACUCAAACAGAACUAGAACUGGCACCAUUCACUUUAGAGCUGGAAAUCAAUCUACAUCAUCAAAGUCAAGAGAUGGAUGAAAUAACUGUUUGGCAAGGCGUCAGGGAAGGGAUUGUUGAAAUUCCGUAUUGACUGACUUGGCUUGGUCGGUAUAAAGCACUGGAAAUCCUACUAAACUGACUUCUUAUACAUCUUAUGCCGAUGAGUUGAGUAAGGGUCACUAACUAGAAUAAGGUCACUAACCAGAAUCCGGUAACUAAACAACUAGUAAGAAACAAUCCUUCUAUUUGAGAGUAAUGACCAGACAAGCAACUAAAGACUAGUAUAGUAUAAGGGACGGGUACUCAAAAUAAUUCAUAGGACAAGUAAGUAUAAGAAUUGGGUAAGUAUAAGUUUCAUCUGUUGCCAGAGGUAUAGUUGCCGGAGGUGUAGUAGAGUAACUUGGUGCCUACUUGUCUAGUAGUUCCUUGGCAGAGCAAGAGGAGAGGCUAAGUACUGAAGUAAAGCUCUUAAAUAACACAUUAGAAUUGAUUUAUUACUUGCUAUGUGCUCGGGAGCCGAGCCAGGAGUGCUUGUUGAAAGAAGUCUAGUACUUGGUUAGAAAGAAAGAAAUAAGGAUUGGUUUGCAAGAGGAAAGGGAUGCAGUUAAGUCAGAAGGAAGCUAAGCUAUAAGUAAAGAAAGUCUAUAUUGGCUAUCCAAAAUCCCAGGGCUGCUAGGUCCAAUCAGCUACUUCCGAAUUGUAACGCGAGUCGAGGUAUAGAAGAGUGCUUAUGGUUCUCCGGCUUCUUUUGAACUCAUAUUCUAUAAGAAAGAAGGAAAUCCAGGACAUCUACUAGUUGAACUCAUAUCUCCCAUCGUAGUUGUUGGCUUUCACACCGGAUUGAACAGGAGGAGUGAGUGAAAAAGUGAACUAUACUCGUCUAGGAAAGUAGUACUUAGAAGCAGUUCUCAAGCCAAGUUAAGUGAAUAGUUCCCAGUUGCCAGAGGUAUGGUUAUCGGAGUGAGUUUGUUAGUCUUAGUACCAAUAUUGGGUUUCUUUCUGGUCAUACUAUGAGAUUCUUAGUCGUACUUACUGGUUGCAUUCUGAUAAUUGAGCACCCGGCUUCCUCACCGGAUCUUGCUUAUUCUUCUGAUUCUAAUGCUUAUUCUUCUGAUAUCUACCCUUUAUUCAUUGAAUAUCUCUCUUACCGCUCUAUAUGGGGAUAGGCGCAAAACAAGGAAAUCCGCCUUUACUACUAACCUUGGGUCUUGCUUCACCGCCUUAGAUUCUCACUGUCCUGCUUGCUUCUCUUUCUGUGUCUCCUAGCCUCCCAUGUACACAAUCCGUCUUGCUUUCCAGCACCUAGGUCUUACUACCCUUACUUUCAGGCUGUGAUGCAUUAGUUUCGGUCUUUCACUUAGUAGCUCCACUCUUUCUAUUACAAUAUAUGUCUUCGAGGUCUUAAACCGGUGCUUCUCAGGCUUCAACUCGAUCCAAUCAGACUGAUACACUGCGCUACUAUGCUAGGUAUUUGUACUACUGGUAUUGGUAUUGGGAGCUAAGGUAUCUAGCCACUGCUAGCAAGACUUAUGGUAGGUAGCGAGUUAGGUACUCCUUAGUCGAUUAGUCGAUUCCAAGUUGAGAGUUCUCAUAGAUAGUAGAAGCCCUGAUUUGAGCCCUGCUUUUUGAAUAGUCAUUCUUUAUUAUAAGAUAAGUAUUGAAGUAAGUAGUGAAAGGGUGACAGCGAGGAAAGGGCUGCUUUAAACUCAAGAUGGGCUCGUACCGUUAAGGGCGAGGAGAGGUCGACAAAAGGUAUGAUGCUAAGUAUAAGUCGGAUUUCAAAGAAUAGGUAAGUGGUGAAUUUACAAGGAUCCAUAGUAUACCACGUGCUCGAUACGAAAGAUUCCAUAAAUGAUUCGUUUUCCUCGGUCCUUGGCGCAAUAGAGAGAAAAUCCAAUAAGUUUGUCAAUCGACAAUGAAUGUUUUACUUGCCGCAAGCAGGUUUGAUUCUUGUGUCGGUACUGCUUGUGUCUAAGGUUGUACCACAUGUCAUACGCCUACUCGAACUUAUAAUGAAUUUGAUGCCCAUAAAGCGGGAGUGUUACUAAGGAAGUAGUGCCCGUCUAUGGUUAGUGGUUGUAUUCUCGCGAGUAGUGGUUGUUGCCUUAGAAGAGCUGGAGAGCAAGCCUGUUUGCCACUAGCUAAAGUCUUAAAAGCUAUAGGCUUUCAGCACCUUGUUUUGAAUAGCAGGAGUAGGCUUCGGGGCUAAUCCUAAGAGUCGUUGGGGUUUAGGGUCUGUGAUUAGUUGUAGUGGAAUGCCUAGUGAGUGGCCCUUAUAGUCAGUUGAAGUAUAGAAGAGUUGCCAGCUUUCUCAGCAAACUGCAUUCUUAUCCUGAGUUUUAUACCUUCAUAGCCGUAGUCCACUAAUGAAAUAGGGAGGUUAGAGUGCUUGUUUGAAGCAAUGAGUCAAUUAAGCAGGGAAUCCUUCUUUCUUUAUAGUGAGGUGCACCAAGUAGAGAAUAGAGUUAUAGAGUUCAGUUACUGAGUCCUGUAUUCAUGGCUAAAGGGCCGCUAGUCAAUACCCUACUUGACCUCCGCAGAAGAGAUUAGCAUUCCAACAUUCUUGAUAUGAUUACUUUUGCACUGAACCUUAUACUCUUCCUUUCAACAACACCGAUGCAUGCAGUAGAAAUGAGCAUUCGACCUUCUUAUCCAGCUUCCGAACCUCGAACUGAAAGGAAAGAAAGAUAGAAUCAGGACAUUAUGAUGCCGACCUCCGCCUUGUGCCUUAAGUAUUACCUUUUCUGGUAUCCUUUCAAAGCACCUUACCGAGUAGAGUAUAGUUUACAACUUAGCACCCCGCACCCCAACUCUCCUUAUGAAUAUCCUUCUCAGGUCUGUGCAACUCUCACUCUCACUGGAAUACGGGUUGGUUUAAAGGAACAGUGGGCUUAGUCUCUCUCUCACCCAUACGAGGCACCUACAUCUAGCAGUAUUGAAUAGAGGCACCCGCGGAUCGGACUAACGCCAUGAACAGCAGAUGGAUAUAGAAGUCGUUUUCCACUUUAACAAAGAAAGUCAGAUAGUAUACAACUUACUAUAAGGGCCCCUAAUAGAUUGAUUCGCUGGAUUUCUUUCUUUAUAAAUAAUCAGAAUUAAGAUAAGCUACUACAAGCGGGUAUCUCGGGCUUAAGUCUGCUACCAGUGUGCUACUACUAGGAAAACAUGGAAUUCAUUGCAAUGGAAGUAGACCUCGCACCAAAGCCUUUACUUUAUUCAUUUCCAAUCGAAACUCCCUAUGGGUCGGGCCUCUAUAAUAAGUCUCGCAAGGUCUCAUCUUUAACCAAGGAAAAGAGGUGGGCAAGGACACGGGAUACAGGCAAACACCGAGCCAAUACCAAUAAGGAAUUCCAUAAUGAAACUAUCUGAGUUGGGGGUAAUGAAACUAUCUGAGUUGGGGGGAGCUACUGGCUUUUAGGCAAAGAUAGGAGACAAGUCCAGGUUUCAAGGGGUUUCUUCAUAAAAUCAUAGAAAGGCGUAGUGACUUUUGGGUUGCUAUCCGCCAAGUCCUUUGCCCUUACGUAAUUGGUGUAGCGGCAGUCGAGUAAUGAACAGUAGUGAGUUAUGAGGAAACACGGUAAAACGGAAAGAUCAGAUUUCUAUUAGUAGUUGCUUGGCCCUUCCCUUUAGCCUAGGAAACAAAUACUUCUUGAAAGAGCUAUACCUCUGGCUAUCAUAUCAUCUCGCUGGCAACUAAUCCUCUCCUCUGGUUCAUCCACCUCUGUAAACUACUACUGUUAUUGCUCCCCCAUCUUCUACUUCUACUCUUUCUAUUCAUUCUUAGUGUUCUACUAGAGUCAACUCUCUUAUCUUUUUCUUUUGCAUGACUUUACCCAUGAACUUGCAUCUUCCUGACUUGAUCAAGCAUCUUAUACUGAACAAGGUAUUCCACUCACACCGCAUAGUCCAAGUGCUUUCUUCGACCAUAAAUCUUAUAAGAAUCAAUUCAUUUCUUGAACGGGGAAGCAAAGAUGAUAGGGAAACGGAUAAAAGGUAUACCGAAUGAAGUGAAAAGUAGCAAGAGUUCAAAGAGAUGGAAUGGCAGCCUGUUUCUGUUCUCAAGUAAGCUGCAGUUCUAGUUUCAUCCUUUAUUGUCUAGCGUUCGGAUGCCUCUAUCAAUCUGCUUUUCCUUUUCUUAAUGCAAGGGCGCCCGAGGUAGUUAUUGGUUAUACUUGAUUCUAUACUUAGUGAUAAAUGGAUAAAUCAAUAUUGUUUGAUCAAUAGGAAGAAGCGAGAUAUCUUCUUUGUUCACUAUGCUCGAUAGAUUCCAUAAGUUCGGUUCAAGUGGUUGUUUACUUUUUCAUCUAGAUAUAGUGGAUAGCGAAAAAUCCAUUCCAUAUUUCAAGUAAGUAGUAAGCAAUGACAAGCAAGUCAAUAAGUGCAAGUGUGCGAUAACCAGAAGAGAAACCCUUUUUUCGAGUUGAGUUCACCCAACAAGCAAGAACAACAGGCGGAUCCCUAUCACCAACAGUAACAGCAGGGGGGCAAUCAGCUUGUAUAUAAAGGAAAGUAGACAAGGAAACUAUACCUAUGGCUACUAUUAACAGAAUGAGGUAUACCUCCAUCCAUACCUAAGAAUAAGGGAGCUACUAACUGGUCUGAAACUCCUGAGUUCUUAUUUCAUUAUGUAACUACUGAGUGACAUUCUUGACUUGAACUACUUGAUAGAAUUGGCUCGUUAUAACUAAGUCCUGUGCACUUAAUAAAUGCGACCUCUCUGGCUCUGUCAACUAAUUAAGUUAUGGCUCUGCACUCUGGACUACUCUCCUCUGAUCUUGUCUUGCUCCAGUAUACGCUUGGCCUCACUCCUACAAUUGCUCACCUAGUAACUGACUUCCUAGUAACUUCCUUCAGGCUUACUCCUUAUUUCGGGCUGACUCCUUACUCCUUACUUCUGGUACUCCCCAGGCAGGGAAUCAGUAGCACUUGUUGAAGUCUGUGACUCCCUAGUUUGAGUCUGAUCAGUGUUAGUUUCAGGCUGUCACUCCCGAGUUUGAGUCUAUCCCUCCGUAGCUGCAGCCUUGGAAGCACUAGUUUGAAUCUGUAACACCCAAGCAUCCGGCUGAGUGGCCCCAGUAUUAGUCUCGGUGGUAUCAGUAUCAGCCUUGGAGUUACUGCUUUCAGGCUUACACCUACUAGCUGCAGCCCUUAUAGUAAGUUGGGGCACUGCUUCCAUUGUUUGACGAGUGGGGUCAAUUCUUACUCUCACGAAUGACAAUAAGGGGUUGCCCUCUCCCUCUUGCUACUGAGUUUGAUUCUGUAACUCCUACUUAUUGGGGUGUCUCUGAGUCUUAUACUAUAGAUGCUUACUACUAGCAGCGGAGGCCAAGCAAUAGUCUAGACGCCAUCCCUUGUGUCAUCGCCGAGUUUUCUGCUUUAUUUCAUAUUUCUCAUUGAUUGGGGACUCCUGCCGCUACACAUUAACAGUGUCUUGGUGGUUGGUUAAAUCAUUUCUCAAAUAUUCAAAUUAUUGAUAAAAAAGUGACAUAAAAAGGAAAUCGAUCCUGUACACACUCAGUACUGAAAUAGUAGCUUUAAACAUAGACGAAGAAAAAGGAUUCUCUCUCUUACCUAGCGCCCGACCUCUCUUUCAAAGGUAUUUAUUCUCUGAUAACUCCUAUUACUUCUUCUCCUCUGAACGACUACUGAUUGAGCUGAGCCGACUUAAUAUAAGGGCUCUUAUCCGAUACCGACUUAAUUAAGGGCAACUGCCAAGCUAGUGACCGAUUCCAAUCUCAAUCUCCAAUAAUGGAACUAGUAAUCUCAAUCUCCAAUAAUGGAACUAGUAAGUAACAGAGACAAACACUAAUGACCAAGCAACGAGCCAAGUCACUUACUUUCAUUCUCACUUUCCUACUUGUUCAUUGAAUUCUUCAAUUCUGUAUUCCUAGUUGUGAGUGUCAAUUCUGAAUAUUCUACUAACCGGUCUGCAACUCUCACUCUAACAGGUAAUUCAUAAACUUACUUGAGAACAGGAACCAGAUACUUGACUUCCUCUGCUGAAGAUCUUUCAACUGAGAAACUGCUGGUUCUUGAUAUAAUAGCUUUCGAACUACCGAUUACGCUUAGGCGGCUUCUUCUCUGACUGAAGAUUCUAUCGUUGCCUUUACUCGUACAGAAAGAUAUUCAAGUACAUAAGUUGAUGGUUCCCCUGCUGGUUGAAUUGAAUCACCUUUACCCUGAUUACCCAGAUAUAUCUCAUACUAUAGGAGAACUCCGUAAGCUGAAGAAGGAAUUGAGGUUUUUUUCUUUUGCUUAUAGAAUGUCGGUAAUUUCCCUUGCUUGCUCUGUUGGCUCAUAGCUCUUCCUUUAAGUACUAGCUGCCUUGCUUGUUCUGUGACUCAUAGCUUCUUUUAAGUAUACUAGUAGCCUAGUUUGAUUUAAGAACUCAGAUAGGAACAGUUGGACCAGUAUCAAGUUAGAAAGAAAAGAGUAUGCACCUAAUAAAAUAGAUGAAAGUAACAACACCUCACUCCACUCUGAAACUAAGGCACAAGCACGAACUGGAAAGAAAGAAUAGAAUAUGGACUUAACUCAAACUCACGUAAGCUAAAGUAAGCACUUGCUCUUAACAACAUGCUAACGCGCAAAGAUGUUUUGCUUGUCCCGUUGCGCCUUUAUUAUUAGUUGUUUCUUUCUACCCUAAAUCACAUUAUUUGUAGUUUCCCUCUUUCUACCCUUAAUCACAGGCUACUCCACUAUAUACUGUUAUUGCAUUCCUUACAGUAAAGGCUACUCAACGAGAUACUUCACUUUAGACUUAACUAGAGUUUCUACCCGUUGCGCCUUUAUUGUUCCGUUGCUUCUUGUUCUUUCGCCGAUGCACUUAGUUAGCUUAUGGCUGGUGUUCGUUGGGGCGAGGAACAAGCUUAGCCGUUGUACGUUAGCUGACUUUAGAGCUUAUUUCAAAUAAAACCAUCUUAUUGCAUUUAUCUCACUCUUUACUUAUCUUAUUACUUACUUAUUUAUAGCAUCUCUCUCUUACUCUUUACUCCUUACUAAAAACACUUAUUGAACGACUUGUGGAAGAGCUUGCUCAUUCGCCCUUGCUUGUAACUCUCAACUAACUGUUUACUGCUGGCGCACAACUCAUAACUGAACUCUGCCUCUGUCCUUUAUUAUUGUAUUGCACCGGAGUAAAGAAUGAUUUUAGUGAAGAGGUUCUACUACAACUGCUACUACAGCUGGGGGUGUCACUGUUCCUAGGCAAUAGAAUUCUAUAGUUUCCUUUCGAACAGCAUAUUCUAACGCUUUUGAUCCAGCAAACAGUAAUUGAUUCUGACCUUUCUAAGCCAGUAGCUUCUCCCGCUAUACAAGUCAUAUUCUUUCUGUGGUAGAACACUUUGCUUACAGAGGAUCCUUCGGAGCUCGAUAGAGGUUUAUUCAGCAAUAGAAUACCGUAAUAGAUAUAGAAUCCGGAAGCCCAAGCUACUACUACAAACGCUCUGAUGCCACACCUUAUUCUUAAGGCACUAUACCCCCGAACAAGAAAAGUCUAUUACGUCAACUGCUCCUGCUCUCGGUCCGAAGACAAAGUGGCUUUAUUGGCAAGGCUUUCCGGAUUUGCUUACAUAACAAACAAACCUUUCUCUGAGCAAACAACCCUACCCUAUGUAUCUCCCUACCAGGUAACGAAGACAAAGUGGUCAUCUCUGGCAACAAUGAACUUCAUUCUUAUCCUCCGAACAAGUCCUUAUUUUGGUGCCUGUGACUUAUAUAUCUGCCGGUAGUGCGUUGCAUAUUCAUUCCUUAAUGAGGUAAGGUAAGUAAUAAGUUACUGGUCUACGGAAGCUCCACUCCAUAAGAAGAAAGUACGAGCGGAAGCUAGAGUAUGAUUCUUAUCUCGAUUAUAUAAGGUCAACUCGACUUGUUUCAUUUGAAUUGGAAUCUUUGUAGCUUAGAUAGAGUAAAGAGUCAACGUAGAGUCAAGAGUCAACAACCAGAGAAGAGAGGAACGUAAACAAACAGCUUUGCUUCAAGACCCAGACUCAUAUAAGCUUAUUGCUGGCCCUUUCUUUUGCUUCAAAACGGACUCCUUUAACAGACGGAGAUGCUUGGCAAUUACUAUAAGGGCCUAUCCUUGAAGUUCAUCAUGGAAUUGAAUAUCUCUUGCACAUGGUAUAGAAUCAAAUAAAGAUACAGAUCCAUCUUUUGCUUUAGAUCUUGUUGACUAAACUAGAACUGCUUCUUUAUUAGAUGAAACUCGGGAUGAAACAAGUUAACCUAGUCAAGCGAUCCUGCUCCUUUAGCUGACGCUACUUAGAAUAGUAGAAAGGUUCGGUGAAGUUCGAGUGCUGUCUCCUGUUAUUGGUGGCAAUUAUAGUAGGGGAGCUGAGCUGUACGCGUCAACCUAUAGCUUUAGCCCGCCGUAGCAGAAGCACUUGUUAGGAGCUCACGUAUAAGAACCAUGUCAGUGUCAAUUCCAUGAUUUUCUUGUUUUGUUUGUUGAGUCAGCAGUAAUAGGUGAGUCAGCAGGUAUAACAUUAGAGUCAGGAGUCAUCAGUUGGGUUACUUACCUGAUGAAUUUAUAUGUACCUAAGCAGUCAGCAGUAAUAGAUGGGGAAGCGGUCAUGGAUGGUCAGGUUACACACUUAUUAUAACAGGGGCACCCACAUUAACAAGUCUAAGUCAAGUUUUCAGGAGCUACGUCGAUACAGUUGAAAUCCAAUCUUCUUUGAAAGAUGAAACAAUAACUCAACAAACUCAAACUAAUUGAGACUUACGCGCAACCAAUUACUUAAGGGGACUAGUAGCUUGUCUGCAGCUGACACCGCUAAUUCUUGAGUAGACUGAACUAUCAACCUGACUCCAACUCAAACAUCUUACUUGUUCCCUUGCGCAACUAAUCACUAAACUUCCCUUUUGCCGAUGCCGACCUAAACUACACUUGCUGCCGACUUGCGCACUGCUUCUAAUCCAACUAGCAACGUACGUAUAUAGACUUGAUCUUCCCUCUGAACUUAAAGCAUAGGUUCCCCAACUACCGAAACUCAUUGAAACUAAGAAACACUACCGAAACUCAUUGAAACUAAUCAACUUGCCUUAUAAUGCAUUUAUGACUAGAAGAUUUAUGGUCGAAGAAAGGACUUGUACAGGGUUUGAUGCGGGGAAGUGGAGAAUUGCCUGUGACUCGGGUAGGGUUGGUGCUUACGCUCUAGUCAAGUUGCUAGGUUUGGUCAAGUUGCUAGGUUUGGCUUGUUUACUGACUUUGUUUACUUACUUGCCGAGUUUCAUCUGUAAUCUUAUAUAAGAGAGAAUUCUUGUUGGAAUGUUUUCACAGGGUCGGUUGGUUUACUUCCUUAGUUGACUUACUUUGUGGGGUUAAUUCCACUCACAUUCUCACAGGACUACUAACUACCGGGACUACCUGGACUAUCGGGAUCAAACAAAUUAAGGUGCUGAAAGCCACAACGCCAAGCAACGAGACCCCUCUGGUUCACUUUCAGUCUGUAACUCGCUUGUAUCAGGCUUGCACUCCCCGGUUUGGUUCUUUGGCUACCCGGCAUCAGUCCUAGCAGCUGUGGUUGAAGAAUAAGUAGCACCCGUAUCAGGCUUAGUAGACACCGUUCGAUCCUGUAACUCUCUUGGUUGAGUCUUGCUGGCAGUGGUUUAGGUCUGGUUGUCAGUGGUUAUAGUCCGAUUGUGCACCAUAUCGGUCUAGUAGUUAGUGAUUUCAGUCUGAUUGUUAGUAGUUAGAGACCCUAGCUACCCUUACCAAUAGCUUCAGUCGGAGUAGCUACAUACCGAGACCUUAGCUACCAAGCACCAAUCUGCCCAGCGCCCGUUUAAGCCUUUGACUCCAUAGCAGCAGUCCCAUACUUUCCACUAUCCCUCUCUGGCAACUUAAUAGAAGGGCAACUGCCAAGCUAGUACUAGAUGCGGGCCAAGUCCACCAAGCAAAUACUUUUUACCAAAACCCGUGUUUUUGGGCAGCCGAGGGGAGAGCUCCUGCCGCGGAACAUGAGCAGUUCCUUGGCCCCUUCUUAGCUGGGUUCAUGGAAAUGAGAUCUUGGCGUUUUCCCGUGUUUUUUCAUAGCAAACGAUAAGAGCUCCUGCCGCGGAACGUUAGUAGUUCCUUGCCCCUUCCUGAGGCACCUGAUUGAUAUUCUUUUUUUCCGUUUUCCCGGGUUUUUUCGUUGCAAACGAUAAGAGCUCCUGCCGCGGAACGUUAGUAGUUCCUUGCCCCUUCCUGAGUGCCCAGAUUGAAAUGAGCUUUUUGCGUUUUCCCGGGAUUUUGGAUAGCAAAGUGAGUGGUUGUCUACUUGUCAGCUUGCUUGGCUCUUUGAUUCACUGCUUUCAGUCUUACUCCCAUCAGUUCCAUCCUUAGUCUACGGAUUUCCAUUCUUCUUCUGUUACUACCACUACUGAGUUGCAUUCUUAAACUACUUAGGUCAAUUCUAUCCCUUAGCAGCUCCGCUCUUUGGCUACCCGGUCUUAGUCCUGUUGGCAGUAGCACUGGUUUCAGUCUGAUAAUACCCAGCUGAAGUCCGAGGAGCAGCAGCACCAGUCCAAUACUACCUUAGCAUCAGUCCAAUACCUAGCACGAGUACCCACUGCUUCAGUCUUAGUACCAAUAGUAUCAGUCUGCCCGGCACUUGUUUAAGUCUGAGUGUGGUACUUGUUGGAGUCUGGUUAAUAGUAGCUAUAGCCUGUAACUCCCUGGUUGCAUUCUCAGUAGGAGUAGUUUGAGUCUGUCGGGGCAGUGUGUCAGUCUGUUCCUCACUGGGUUCAUUCCGAUAGUUGCUAGGUCAAUUCUCGGUGGUACUGCUUUGAUUCCUGUUGGUGCUGGGGCAAGGUAAGGCUCGCUCGGUACUGCUUUCAGGCUGUCACUCCCUUUGAUGAGUCUUGGAAGCAGUGUUUCAAGCCUGAGUGGUUCUGCUUGAAGUCUUGGACUACUGAGUGGAAUUCUGAUCUGAAGCUGCAGGGAAUCAGUGAGGGAAUCAGUGGGAGUGGUUGAAUUCUGUAAGUAGGAGUAGCGGCAUUGAGAUAAGUAAGUGAAGGCGCUGGUAAGUAAGAGGGUAAGACUGAGUUAAGUAAGAGUGAAGGCUGGUUGUUAGAUGCCUCGGUCUUGGAAGCACUGGUUUCGGUCUGAUCGGAUCUAGGUUCGUUCUGUAACUACCCCGCUUAAGCCUGGUUGGCAGUGAGUUAAGCCUGGUUGGGGCAGUAGUUAAGCCUGGUUGGUAGUGAGUUAAGCCUGUAACUCCCCGGUUGAAGCCUUGGACUACAGGAGCUAAUUCUUAGUAACACCCGUCUAAGCCUGUGAUGCACCGGUUGAAGCCUGCCUAGGAGUAAUUUGAGACCUUAGCUACCCGGGUUCAGUCUUUGCCCUAGUGGGUUGGUUCUGUGAGUUAGUAAUUGAAGUCUUAAGUAGCUAUAUCAGAAGCACUAGGCAUUGUUUAAGUCUGGUUAGCCCUCGAACACAGGACUUCUAUCUUUCGAAACUCAAUCCUUAAUAAUAACAGAUAGAAUUUGAUAGGCGGGCGAGUUAGAUGAGAUGGAGUAUUGAUGGGCCAGAGAAGAGACUGUUCUAGUUUCAAGUCGGAGACAAGCGUAAUAGGAGAUGGGUUCUACUACUGGUUUAGCUUUCCCUUACUUAUAUGAAAGCUGUCUGCUUGGUUGCUCCUUACUUCCUUCCUUUAAGAAUAUAGUUUCCUCGAUGCCAGGUCCAUUCUUUCUUUAUGUUAUGCGCUCUAAACUAUACUGUCUUCCUUCAUGUGCUAGAUCAUACCCUAAGUUUCCAUUCUCCACUUAGUCUUGCCCGUGAAAAAGGUAGCAUCGGAGUUUCCCCUCCUAUCGAACCAAUAAGGCAUGCUCUUUUUUAAGAAACCCGUGUUUUUUGGUAGCGAAGGAGUUUUGCCUCCUAGACCAUAAGAUUUCUCCUCCACUUUUGCGUUUUCCCGGGAUUUUGGAUAGCUUCGUUCUUUUCCCUCCUAGAGCACUUAUUUCAAAUGAGCAUUUUGCGUUUUCCCGUCUUUUUUCAUUGCAAAUGGGGAAUAUCUCCUCUCCUCUUCUCUUGCUCCGAUACCUAUGUCAACUAAUAUUCCACUGGGGAUGCAACAACUAAUGAAGGGGAGUUACUAGCGGCAGGAGCUUAAGAACCAUACCAGAAGCCAGGGCAGCGAGAAUGCAAACACUACCAAUAAGAGAGGUGAGCGAGUAGUUAACUAAGAAUUCCA